CCUACAGCCUCACCUGGAAUGUGCUGCGCAGACAUGAAACUGAAAGGCCAGAUCACCCACCUAUGUGAGGCGGUGGGAGCCAGAUGGAAAUUUUAUUAGAACUAGAGCAAAGUGCACAGCUGCAGCACGCAGAAGACAGCGCUCCGGCUGACAGGCAAACGAACGAGCUCGUGGAUGGGGCCUCUGGGUGGCAGCUCCGGCCUUUUGGUUGUUGGACACUGUUCAUUUCAGAACUGAAAUGGAACAGGGGGCAGGAAAAACAAAACAAAACAAAACACACUUUUACUCUACGCAACUGUUGCUUUCACGUGAUCUUCAGGAAUGUUACUGGGAUAACUGUCCAAAUCAAAUUUCAUGCACUCGUCAUGGUACUGACUAUCAAGAUGAUAUUAUGAAAGGAUAACUCCAAAAUAACACACAUCGGGAGCACAUAGGGAUGCUCCCUUCUGACUGUGCAGUGUGCGCUAUGGAGAGAUUCUUCAAAACUCACCAGGACAAAUCACUGACGAAUUCAUCAGACUGUUCAUCUCUGUUACCCUUAAUGGUCACUCAGGAAACAUUUCCCUCAACUGUAAAGGCAUUUGAACUGGUCGAACAGGACGACAGAGCAGUGAGCAUGAGAUCAUUGCAGCCGAGUAGGAAACUGGCACCCAGCCUUUUCACCCCUUCGGUUCGGAAGACGAACGCGUGCAGUCGUCAUUUCUCAAGCCAGCGCAGCCUGGAAGGAUUCCGGGUCUCUCCCAUUCUACCAUUCGGCUGCCAGUUGAUGGCAACGAUUGGUGCAGCUUCUGCGCAGUGCUUUGUGCCUGGAAUACGGAGAAGGAAGAGCAUGAAGACAAGCCCUCCGGACCUCCUCUGAGAAAUAGCAGGAGCACUGCAGGAACAGCAACAAAAUCAAACAAAUCAAAAAGCCCUGAGCUUCUCAGUCCUUGCAAGAGUGCUGAAAAAAUAAUGAUAAUGAUGAGAUGCGCCUGCUUGGAAACAAAAACAAACAAACAAAACUGCAAACCAAAACAAACCAAAAAAAAAAAAAAAAAAAAAGCAAACUUUGACUUGUCUAACUCCAGAGACACCGGGCUUUGUAAAGCAGCUCUGAAGGCGUCACAACCAAAUGAGCCUUCUUCAUUUUUAUUUAUUGUUUUUAUUUAUUAUUUCAAAAACUAUGGCCUAAGAGCAGUACAUUGCACUUGGUGAAGCCGCACUUUCAUAUCAGGGGAACACUUAAGGUGGAUAUGAGAAGAGAAGAAAAUAACCAUAGGAGAAAAUCAUCUCAGGUAACAAUGAAAAAACACAAGUGUAAAGUAUAAUUAAUCUAC